rnacentral:rRNA from 1 species
AAAAUCCCACAUAACCACGGGGGUCCUGUUUGUUAGUUUUGGGUUGGGGUGACCGCGGAGAAAAAUUAAACCUCCACGACGAACGGAAUUAACUCCUAAUCUAAGAGCUACCGCUCUAAGAAUCAAUAAAUUGACAUAAAAUGAUCCGAUAAUCGAUCAACGAACCAAGUUACCCUGGGGAUAACAGCGCAAUCCAUUUCAAGAGCCCCUAUCGACAAAUGGGUUUACGACCUCGAUGUUGGAUCAGGGUAUCCCAGUGGUGCA